rnacentral:lncRNA from 1 species
UUUAACAUAUUCAUCAUUCUUUACUUUAAUGUAUAUUUCUUAAACAAGUCUUAGUAUUUAUAUAAUCAUCAAACUUUAUACAUGCCAUAUAAAUCAAAAAGAAAUUUACAAAAGCUACCGGAGAUAAUCUGGAUAGUGUGAUCCUUUGUGUUGAUCCGAUCCUCCGUAUACUUCCACGUCAAUCUACAAGAGACAUUGAUUACACUCAUGUAAGCUUAUAGAAGCUUAGUAAGUUCGUAGGCAUAAAACAUAAAUCUUACCA